GAUCAUGCUCAGGAUGAACGCUAGCUACAGGCUUAACACAUGCAAGUCGAGGGGCAGCAUGGUCUUAGCUUGCUAAGGCCGAUGGCGACCGGCGCACGGGUGAGUAACACGUAUCCAACCUGCCGUCUACUCUUGGACAGCCCUCUGAAAGGAAGAUUAAUACAAGAUGGCAUCAUGAGUCCGCAUGUUCACAUGAUUAAAGGUAUUCCGGUAGACGAUGGGGA
rnacentral:rRNA from 1 species